CAUACAAAUAAACAAAUGAAUAAGUAAAGGGAGAGAUAAAUAAAAGGAGCCAGGCAUGCUGUGCCUGCAUUUUGAAUAUCGAUCCGCAUCCCCUUGUGUACGUAUCAGUGGAUCAAUGUCUGGCUGAAAGAGAAAUCACCUACUAAAACAGUUGGGAAAGAGCUGCAGACACAACGUUAAUAUUAAUCAAAACAAAUCCUCCCUCUCCACCCCGCCCCACGCUGCCCAGGAGCCGACUGAGAGACAACAAGCAGCAGUGUCUGCUGAGCAGCCAGAAAUAGGACAACCCUGGAGGAACCAGUUGGUUAAUGAAACCUUUGCCAAUGAAGUUUGUGGAUGCCUCGGAGAAAGAAAGAAGUGGCCGGCUCGAGCAUGUGUACAACAUGGACUUCCUUGCCAGACUGGGACAUACUUAAAUUAUGGCAUUUUUCAUCUUGAUUGUCAAUUAUAAUCUACUGGAAGUUAGAGAAGAAGAGGCUGCAAUUACACUUUGUACAUUAAAGUACCACAAGACCUACAGACAGCAACCAGGCUGGACUUCAUUGUGCUGGUCUGUUACCCUGUUUCCUACUUGUUUCACCCUGGUACAGAAUGAGAACAUCUACAAGGUCUCUACUCUGAGAGCGGAGUCGAGGAGGUGGAUCUCUUCCCAAUGAGAACAGGCUGGAGAGUUUCUUACUCAAGUCUCAAAAGCUCAUGAACAGCUUUCCAGAAGACUCGGAUUGAAACCAGACACCUAGAUGUGAAGGCUUCUGCAUGCUUAAUGAAUUGAGGAUACCAUUCAGCUCCAUCUUGACUAUUUUAAGUACAAGGGCAAGUGCCUGAUUUUUGUAAGUAGGGUUUCUGUGCUAUAUGUGUAUGAUUGUAUUGUCAUGUGUUUAUUUUCCCUUAUGAAGAGAGUGUGCUGAUUUUCACGUUUCCUUUUCUCAUGCUUAUAUUACCUGAUUGCUGUGUCCCCUAAGCAGAUAUUAUGGAAGAAGCUGAGCCAUUGUAAAGCAUAUAUGAUUUUACCAGCUUAAUUUUUCACUUAGACGCAUAGAGAGUGGGGUAAAAGUCUCAUGUGGUAUAAAACAAAAGUAUCCCAAGCUUAUCUAAUCAUGGAAACAUUGACAUCUGGGCUAGAAGUCAUA